UAUUACAUCUCUUAGCGCGGAAUAUUUCGUGUUACUGUUUCAUGGGUAUUAAUGAUGGUUAAUCAACUUCAAGCAUUCUGUCCGACACUGCGACCCAUGAGAGAAGUGUAGAUACUUACGGACGGCAAGCCGGGAGACGGGGAAUGACGUGGCCACACUAUUCUGAGGUGACCUCAAUGUGUGGUGAAUAAGGAUGGGAAGAAGAGACACACAGCUAUAGAAGGAAUGGAGCUUCUUUCACACACGUACAGAUAGCGCACAUGUAGCAGACCACUGCGCCUGCGGUAGGAAGAAGGCUCCAGUUGUGGAUGUACCUAUCUACAGUUUCAAGCGACAUCAAUAUCAACCGCGUUUCAGC